GCGUGGUUUGAUAAGGGUCGGCCUGACAUCCUCAUCUCAUAGUCUACCUACGCCACCACCUCCCGUGACUCAGGGAAAGGGACUUCCUGAAGAAAGUACAUGAGACAGUGGAGAGAGGAGGAAAGGUUCUGAUGCCAGUCUUUGCCCUGGGAAGAGCUCAGGAACUGUGCAUUCUAUUGGAAACAUUCUGGGGAGCGGAUGAACAUGAAGGCCCCCCAUCUACUUCUCCACAGGGCUCACAGAGAAAGCCAAUCACCUCUACAAACUCUUCAUCACCUGGACCGAUCAGAAAAACCUUUGAACAGAGAAACACGUUUGAGUUCAAACGCAUCAAGGCCUUUGAUCGCUCCUACGCAGACAACCAAGGACCAAUGGGGCAGAAACAUCAUAUUUUUGUAUGCUACUACUAUAACAUUACCUUACAGUUGCAAAAGUUGAAUGUAUGUUUAGGCAUUGAUAUGCUUUAGAUACAGACAAUUCCAAUAAUUUGUCCAUUAUAGAUACUAUUCUUCUUACCCCAGUGAAUAUUCUACAUAGUCACUGUAGACCCGUUAUUAUUAGGUUUAUCCAUUAAAUUGUGUUGGAGCAGACAGUG